AGAGCCCCUUGGGUGGUGGCAUGAGAGAGGACAUUCACUUCUUUUUUCCAGAAGAGAACACUGAAGCAGAAAAGGCACUUUUAGAGCGUCUGGCUGGGUCACCCGUGGCAAAGGAGCUGGUGUGAGCACAGGCACCCCCGUGCUGGAGUGAAGCCCCAGAAAGCUGAGACUCCAGCGACAGAGCGAGGAGUAGCACACGGAACCGGCAGAAGGACACACACUGUCUGAAGUCUGCCCGGCCCCACCAGAAGGGGCCACACCCCCCCACCCCAUUCCACCACCCCCCCUCCGGGGACUCGGGAACGUUAGCUCCUGAGGACCUUGAACACAGCCUGGCAGUGGGACCUGGCUGCAGAAAGGACCCCCGUGCGAUCGGCCCAGAAAGCCCCAGUCUGCUGUGUGGAAGGACAGCGGCCAUGCCCCAAGAGCCUGUCAGCGACGCACCUGGGGCCCGGCACUCCGCCUCACCACACAGGUCAAGCAGGAGCAGGAGGUGCCUCAGCAGAGCCCAGGGGAGGGACCCGAGGAUUCCAUCUCUUAAAAUCCGAAGACCCCAGGUCCUGCUGGAGAUGGGUCUGCCCACGUCAGGUAAGGCUGGUGGGACAGGUAAGGCUCAGUGCUCAUGGGCGCUGAGGGUCAGUGCAGAAUCAGCGUCCCUGCAGCCUCUUGAUUGAGCCCACUGUCAAGGCUCAGGGAUCUUUGUCCACCCACGUCCACGUCCACGUCCAAAGGGCUUCUGGGGCCCUGCGGUGCGCUCCCUGCCCGACAAGGAACUAGAGAUGCACCUAUCAUGCCCCGGCCCCUGGACUUCCCCACCCCAGAUCCUCCUUGGGAAGGCCCUUCCACCAGCCCGCUUCUCUGGGCAGGCCAGCUCCCUGGGGAACCCCUCUCCAGCCCAUCCCCUGGACAGAAGCCAAUGGCAUCGCCUGAGUCCUUACCCUUGGGAAUGUGGGAACCAGGCCCCCCAGUUUGGUCCGUGCAGCUGGCAGCCAAUGGAGGGGGCAGUGCAUGCUGUCAGUGAGGGAAUGGGGGGAGGGUGGCCACAAGCAGGUCCCACUGGGACCAAGCCCCACCUCGAGCCCCCCCACACGGCCCCAGGCAGUGGGUGUGGUGGGCUCUCCUGAACAGCCCUGCUGAGCCAGCCAGGGGGUAGGCGCACCCCAAAAACCCCCUCAGGCCACACAGUUGGUGGUGACUGCUCCAGGGGGAACACUGGGGGCUCAGGACACCUCAGCCCUGCCUGGCACGGCACCGUGGGUGGCCAGCUGGACUACAGCCAGAGCUCCAGGGCCAGUCCCUUGUAUCACCCACGGACCACCCAGCCCCUGGGUGAGCUCCUGCCUGGGCCCCUGGGCCCAAGCCCAAGCUGGGCUGCCAAAUCCUAUAGAAACAGGCCGGGUUGCCAUAGCAAAGCCCCAUACGCUUCCCCAGCUGUUCCCGGAUGUCCCCUUAGCGUGGCUUUUCCAUCCCAAACAGGCAGGGUGUGAUGUCAGGGAUCCCCUCGGCAUCUCCGCAGGCCCAUUUGAGGCCUCUCCGGCCUCCCUUCCCUCCCAGUAGGCAGCCUGGGCCUCUGCCCUCACCCACCAUCCCAGCCUCUGUACCCACUGUCCUAAUCCACAGUGGCCUCAAGGUUGCCGGACUGGACAGCUCCUGGGUCCUCAGCCCUCCACCUCGCCUCUCACCUUGCCUACCCCGGUCCAGCCUCUCCGGCACCCACAGGCCCUUCUGUGGGAGGGAGAGCAUCCCUCCUUUAACCCCCAACUCAGCCAGGGGACUCCCUUUGCCUCCCCACCCGCUCCCUGGUGCCAGACUCAUCUUCUGUGCUUUCUCUCCCAUACAGAGAGGCCUCUGCAUGGGGGAAGUCCCCUCUGUACGACUCCUGGAGAAAGGGGCUGGCCAGGUCCAGAGCAGGGAGAGAGCAUUCUCGGAAAGGGUGGUUUUGGUCCUAUCGCAGCACCUGGCUGUGGGGGCCACUAGUCCCUCACACCACGCAGCCCAAGACAUGCUUCCCAUCUGUGCCCCUGCAGACAAAGUUGGGCCAGACCCUGAGUUGGAGGGAGGGUGUGGGCAGGUAAAAGUGGCCCCCAUAACCAGGUGCAUUCCUCUCACCAUCCCCCCGCCCCUGGCCACGAGUCUAAACCUGUGGGGACCAGUCCUGGGCCUCUGCCGGAGAGCCAAGCGGCCAGCAGUGCUUCAGGCCCAGGCUACGGUUCCAGGCCACCCUGACUGUUCCUCACCACGCCCCAUGUGGUUUCUGUCUCCCCGCCUUCCUCUUUCUGCUUCCCUGUAGAAGCUGUGGCAUGUAUACAAAGUCACAGGCCACAGUCUGGCCUGGACACGCACCAGCCACUCCACUGUCCGCCCGGUGCCCUGCCAGCUCAUGGUGGGGCACCCCCACUCCUGCGUGGGUGCUCCUGGGCUUGGUUCACCCCCCAACUAGACUCCCAGACAGCAGGCCUCCCCCGCUAGGGAUAGUCAAGCGCCAGGUCUGCCAGUGACAUUAGCAUCAAUCCCGAGGGCCCCUUUCUCCCCUUGGUCUGGUCCACCUGAUUCCAUGCUCCUCCAGGAGCAAGCAAAUGCCUCUGCGAAGGGGCAAGAGCAGAGCACAGAGGACGCCGGGGGCAUCUGUUGGAAGUGGAGGGCUUGGCAGGCCCCUCUACAGUAGCACCUCCUGCAUAAGCCAGCCCCAAAUCGAGGAGCCCACCGUGCACUGAAGCCAGCCCCAGGCCAAGACGAGCUGCGGGGGAGGGGGCAGCCAAACCACUGCACCCAGGCUGCCGGGGGCCACCCAGCCAGUAUGGGCCCUUACACCCCACCUCUCCCACUUCCCAAGUUGUGCGCUCCCAGUCCUGCGGCCUGGUUCACACCCACGGCAGCCCAGUCCCCAGGCUGGAGAGGGGGUGUGUGCGGACGGCCAAAUGUGAGUCUGACCCUGGAGCUACGGGACCUGGGAGGAGAGACAGACAGAGGCUCCGGGAGUACCAGUAAGCCCCAUGCAACCUACCAGAGGCACUUUUCUAGGGUUUCUUGUCCCAGCUAGGUCAAUGCUUCAGACUCUGACCUGCUGCACCCGUUUCCAGAGAUAUUGUCACACACAGCUGCAGUGGGGGUUACUCGGAAGGAGGACCUCUCCCCCUUCUCAGCCGGUUACCUCUCUCAUCCAGGCCGCCCAUACCCCAUUCCCUUCAGCGGGCGUUUCUGACGUCUGGGGAGUAGGGCAGCAAUACCCUAUAGGAGCCACGGGACACAGGGACUGGGGAUUCCAUGGAGAAACGUGAAUGCCCAGAGCAGCUCAAGUAGGGAUCUACGACAGAGAGGUAGUGUCUGCUACACAGGCCUUCAAGGAGGGUGUGUGGGAAGGGAGAGGCUCAAACAGAAGGAAUGAGGAAGAGAAGCCACAUGCUUGGCAAAGGCCAGGGGGUGAGCAGCCCCAAGGAGAGGGACCCUGUGCGUGUGUGGGGAGGGGUCUGUGAGAUGGAGAGAAGGGCGGACAGAUGGUUUGGGCAGCCUGGAGCUCUAAGCAAGGGAGGCAGCAAAGUAAAGGGUGUGUUGG